UCUCGAUAGCGUAAAAGUUAACUCGACUUUGUUUGGAGCUGUAACGUUUACCUACGUUUGCCGCUAGGGGCGCUGUUCCAACUGCAUACAAAUUCGAGUUAACUUUUACGCUAUCGA
rnacentral:pre_miRNA from 9 species